AGAAUGUGGUGUGCGGUAUGUUUGGUAUGGUUCCCUUAACAGCAGUAACCAUAGCAUUUAUGGUCGAUAAUACUGCAGUUGCUGCAGCAUAAGGAAUUGGCCGAAAAUAGGGGCCAAAGUGGGCGAAAUCGCCGAUGAGUAAACAUCAUCAAGACCGCUAACUUCGUGAGAGCAUAUUUCCAUUGUCUUUCUGUUCAAGAGUUUUGUUCUGUAUGGUGCUGUACUGUAGUAUGAGUCUCUGGAAGUGUCAAAAAGUCUAUAGCAGUGCAAUGGUAAGACAACUAAACUGGC